GUGGAGAGCCCGCUUGAUAGUGUGGACAAGCAUAUGAAAAGAAAAAAGGUCAUGUGGCCUGAUUGCAGUCAUACGAUUAGAACAGGGUGUGAUAGGAUCCAAGAGCUCUUUAACACAAAAGAGGACAAGUGUCUAGUGCUAAUAAGAGAAAUUCGAGAGCGGAUGUCAGCAAGCUACUGAUCUCUGGAGGACAAAGGCCAGCCCUGCAGAUGUCUGCCAGAGCCAAUGCGACACUCCCUUCGGAAUUCCACAGCCAUUUCACACAGCUAGGAAGCGAACCUGCGCUGUAUGACUCACCCUGCACACCACUGUGCUUUUACCAGGGACCUGUGCUUGACGUCUUUUUGAUGAUGGUGGACAGGGUCCGACAUCGGAC